rnacentral:rRNA from 1 species
UGAGAAGCUUGCUUUUCAUGAGAGUGGCGCACGGGUGCGUAACACGUAUGUAACCUACCUUGAUCAGGGGGAUAGCCUCUCGAAAGAGAGAUUAAGACCGCAUAACAUUGCAAUGUGGCAUCACAAAGCAAUCAAAUAUUUAUAGGAUCAAGAUGGGCAUGCGGAACAUUAGCUAGUUGGUGAGGUAACUGCUCACCAAGGCUACGAUGUUUAGGGGAUCUGAGAGGAUGACCCCCCACACUGGUACUGAGACACGGACCAGACUCCUACGGGAGGCAGCAGUAAGGAAUAUUGGUCAAUGGGCGCAAGCCUGAACCAGCCAUGCCGCGUGCAGGAAGACGGCCCUACGGGUUGUAAACUGCUUUUAUACCGGAAUAAACCUCGAUUCGUGAAUUGAGCUGAAUGUACGGUAAGAAUAAGGAUCGGCUAACUCCGUGCCAGCAGCCGCGGUAAUACGGAGGAUCCAAGCGUUAUCCGGAUUUAUUGGGUUUAAAGGGUGCGUAGGUGGCUUUUUAAGUCAGGGGUGAAAGACGGUAGCUUAACUAUCGCAGUGCCCUUGAUACUGAAGAGCUUGAAUACACUAGAGGUAGGCGGAAUGUGACAAGUAGCGGUGAAAUGCAUAGAUAUGUCACAGAACACCAAUUGCGAAGGCAGCUUACUAUGGUGUCAUUGACACUGAGGCACGAAAGCGUGG